CUAUUUAGUAGAAGGUAACUAUCAAACCACUGGGGCUACCAGUCAGUCUAGUGAUAGUAUUGUUUGUCUGAGAGACUGUCCCCUCCUUCCCCUGGCUACCGCCCAGGGGACUAUAAACUGGGAAAGCUGGACCUUGCUGGCCCGAGGUAGGGAACCGACAAAGAAAUGAACCCUGGGCACUAAAUUGUCAUACGAGAGGUCACUGAAACAGAUGGAUGGUGAUAAGGCACUAGAAAAAACUGCUAUUAUAACCCUGUGGAAAAAGGUUCUACAAACAGCCCAGAUUUUUAUUAAAAAAAUUUUUUUUUAUUUUAUAAAGAUCCAAACAAGACAACACAGCUUCCCGCAUUUGGACCCUGGCCCCACAACUGUGUGACCUUGGGCAGGUGACCCUCCCUUUUGUGUGGAAGACCCCUCCUCCCUAAGUGGAGACCUGGGGUCCCCAGAGAGGGAGGGGACGCUCGGUGCUGCCCCUGCCUGCCCUUUCCCAACACUAUAUCAGUCCCUGCACCCAGGCCCCUGCCCAGAGCUGGCAUCGGGGGCCCUGCUGGUCUCCCCACUAACCCCUGGGCUCCUCCGGGCCAGGCCGUGUCUGUCAUGGUAAUGACCCUCAGCACUGGACACACAGCAGAGCUGCUAACUGGAUGUUAAACCGAUCAAGACUCAAAAAGCCACUAAAGAUAAAAACAAUUUUGCCAAACCUCACAUGAACAUGCUUUCUCUUGAAAACUUCUUAUGAGUCAAUCAAGCAUUCUUCAGGUUUUGAAAUUAGAAAUUAGGCCACCAUCUGAAUUAGAAGUUAGCUUUACGUCCCUAAAGGUUACCCCUCCUCAAAAACUCAAGUCCCGUUCAGUAACGCAUUCUCUCCUUUCCGUCCACCAUGAGAGAGCCACCAACGACCACCCGACCAACAGCAAGAAGUCCAAACCGGUCAUAACGAGGUCUCGAAAUUAAAAAAAAUAAAUAAAAAUAAAAACAAUCAAUAGUAUGACAUAUAAAAUCAAGUGAUUCCAUUUCAGAAUAAAUUCAUAGUUCAAAAAAUAACUAGUCCACUCAGUGUCUAAUAAAUCAGAAAGCUCGCAAACCAAAAAAAUCCUUUAUAAAGCUACCCUACAAGUAUAAAAAUAGACAUUUCAUAUGCAAUGAAAUCAUCGUAUUGCUAACUAGUCAGUCCGUGUUUAAGAACUUAAAUCGAAAGUUACGUUUCGUAUUUGCCCCUUUGGUUCCUGCAGCUAAAAUAUCCACACGCUGGGCCGUGGUUUGCCCUUGGCCGUGUUUGCCGGGCCGUGCAAAACCAUGAAUUCUCUGCCCAGCCUCCGAGUUGGGCACUGUGGACAGUGAUUCCCACCAGCUUCAGUGAAGAGGUGUGGAGAGAAAAGCAGCACCCACUUCAUUCCGAUGGCUGAGUGUUCAUUUGCUUUAUCUUCCCCGGGUCCACCCUGGGACCUGAAAAAUCCUGUCUGGCAUUUUAGUCAUACGAACUAUUAGUCACCUAUAAUCCUGCCCCCACCCUUCCUUAGCACGGUUUAAAGGCGAUUCUGACAGUUAAGACUGUUUUGGGAGGCACCGCUGUGACAUUAAAAAAUUUAUAAAGUGAUCUGAGGAGGCUUAACUUUCAUUUUCUAGUUGGCCCGAUUCCGAACAAAAAAAAUUUACAUGACCGAUAUUUAAAAGUAACAACUACGAAGAAGUAUACUACCACCCCGAUAGAGUUUAAUAGAACUGUUAUUAAUCACUGUAGUAGUAACUGUGUUUUUAAGGUAAAUACGUGUUAACCCAAAUUCUGUAUAAACUAUAUGGGGCAAAGUGUAAUUACAUCCUCAUUGAAAACUUGUUGUCAUGUUAAAUUUUAAAGUCAAGCGGCCACACGGAGCCAAUGCAAACGCAAGGUAUUUAUUUCCUAAGUCCGGGAAGGCACUAACAUUUCCGAAAUUACGACCCACGGUGGGUUUCUGCAUUUCAAAGCACGAGUGCAUCUCUCUUUUAGGCUCCACGUCAAGCAUGGAAAGAACCUUUUACAGGAAGCUCUUUUCUAGUCGUUCCUGCACAUUUUCUGACUGCAAUUCAUCUUUAACUCAGAGAUCGUCCCCGACAAAACCCUUGCGGUAUCAAGCAACACAGACGUAACAGAAACUCCGCGAACGGGCGACUUGGCCAGGCGCUGCCGGCCCGCCUCUCCCUCCCACCCCCACCCAAUACCUUCCCCGGGCAGUGACUUCACAUCCUUUGACAUCAGCACAGCUCGGAAAGGGGGAUGGGAGAGCGAGCAGAAAGCAGAAAAACCAGCUUUGAACUAUGCAUGCAAGGCCUCUCGACACUCGAAUUCUAGCUGAAGGAUGCUGCUGGAUCCCAUGGCUGGCCACGGAAUUAUUUAUGACGAGCAAUGGGGAGCGGGCGCCGCCUGAGCACACUUGGCCUCACACCUGCCUGGCUCGUCUGCCACCUGGACAGCAGACACGGCUUAGCAGAAACAGCCCGUGCUUGGAGUCAGGCGAUGCCAAUUCCGACCCUUUGGGCUCGUCAGAUGCUCAGAUGCAGGGAGGACGGCUGCUCUAGGACUCAGUCCUCCAGGACUCACCAUCACCUCCUCCCCCAGGGAGUAAUGCUGGAUAAACUCAGACGUAAGUGCAGUUAGAAAGGAGCUGUGCAGGGGGCUCGGGACGUGCCGACUGCAGGGUUGUACUUUAAAAAGCCAGACCUGCCCUGAAAUCAUUUAAUGUUUCAUCUGAGAUGAGAGGGGAUACGUGCUUGUCCUAAAAUUGUGCUGAUGAAUCGGAAUGCAGAAAUAAGGGAGAAAGAAUCCUAGAAUCAUUAUAUAAAAUAUACAGAUUAGAAGUCAAAGAAAAAGCGAAGACGCUCUGAUGUAUUUUUCCUAAUGGUCUCUGAUCAAAGGAAUCCACCUUUAUUAGUGAUUUCUUGCAUGCUCUUUGAAAGUCUUAGGCGUAUAAAGUAGUUCUUUGCAGUGGUCCCCAACUUUGUGGCACCAGGAACCGGUGCUCCUGUGAGACCCUAAUGCGUGAUGAUCUAGGGCAGAGCUGAGGUGGUGAUGCCAGCGCUGGGGAGCGGCUGCAAAUACAGGUGAAGCUUUGCUCACCCGCCUGCCGCUCACCCCCUGUGGUGCAGCCCGGUUCCUAACAGGCCACAGACCAGGACCGGUCUGUGGCCGGGGGUUGGGGACCCCUGCUUUAAAGGACUCAAAGACUGUGAUCUGGAGAUCACCAAUGAAACAUACUCUAUAAACACACAAAUCAAUAACACGGAGGAAAAAAAGACCUGAACAAGUAAAGAUAAGGUGUGUUUCUGAACUGAAAGCACAAAUACUAUAAAUAUGCUGGUGCUAUUUCUUCCCCAAAUGGCUUUACCGUCAAAAUUCACACGGGUCUCUUUAUUUUUCUGGGUACCUGACAAAAUAAUCCUAAAGUUCACCUGGAAAAAUAAAAAGCAAGAAGAAUGAGAACACUUCCAGUGAGAAAGGCUAGUCCUGCCAGCUAUAGAAUGUAUGAAGUAACGACAGUGGACAUGGACUCACCAGGCGAGUUGACGGGACAGAAGUAACAGCUCCCAAAUCGAAAAGUAUAUUUAUACAAGUGUAAUAUUUAUACAAGUGUAAUGAGAAAGAAUGAAGCUCCAAUCAAUGAAAAGGGGAAGAUUAGGUUAACUGGUUGGUUUACACGUGGGGAAAAGACAAUUUAAGUCUUCACUACACAUGAAGAUUUGAGCCGCGUUUGUUAACAGUUAAAUAAAAACAAAUCAAAAUCAAAA